rnacentral:rRNA from 1 species
CCUACGUGUGGCAGCAGUGAGGAAUAUUGGUCAAUGGUCGGGAGACUGAACCAGCCAAGCCGCGUGAGGGAGGAAGGUACAGAGUAUCGUAAACCUCUUUUGUCAGGGAACAAAGACUGGGACGCGUCCCCGGAUGAGUGUACCUGAAGAAAAAGCAUCGGCUAACUCCUUGCCAGCAGCCGCGGUAAUACGGGGGAUGAGAGCGUUAUCCGGAUUUAUUGGGUUUAAAGGGUGCGCCGGGGGUCUGUUAAGUCAGCGGUCAAAGCACGGGGUUAACCCCCGGCCCGCCGUUGAAACUGGCAGUCUCGAGUUGGAGAGAAGUAUGCGGAAUGCGCGGUGUAGCGGUGAAAUGCAUAGAGAUCGCGCAGAACUCCGAUUGCGAAGGCAGCAUGCCGGCUCCACACUGACGCUGAGGCACGAAAGCGUGGGUAUCGAACAGGAUUAGAUACCCCAGUAGUC